rnacentral:lncRNA from 1 species
CUAAUUUAAUAUUUUAACUAAUAAAACAUCUGAUACUUGACAAUCCCAUUUUCUUUUUCAUAGUGAAGCCAUGAGACAAAUAUGACAAAAAAUAAACAGCAACACAAAUAAACUAACGAUUCCAAAAAGGCUUUGUAAGGAAAUAGAAAAAUUACGGCCAGAUCUGGCAAUUGCUGGUCGGAGUCGGCUAGUGGAGAAACGGAGGGUGAAACCGAAGCCAUUUUUAAUGGUGGUGUCAGCCGGAGUAGGUGAUGAUUCCUGCGACGGUUUCAUCAUUUUGUCAGCGAGCAGCGAUGGAGAAAGGGGUGUGUCGGCGGCAUGGUGGGGAGAAUGGCGGCGCUAGCGGCUUCGCCGAUGGCUGCCAUCAGUGUUCUUGAUGACGGGAAGGGAGAGAAGAAAAGGGGUUUGCCAAAAAAUAGGAUUUUCUGCUCGGAUUUUGACCCAUUUUCCGGCGAGGAAAGCGGUAACACGGCUGGUUUUUGGAGUUUUUUGACUGUGAUGUGACCAGAGCAACCCGUUGGGUUGUUGCGCCACUGUUUUACACUUUUUUUUUUGUUUUCGA